AACUUUGUAGUUUAUAUUGUUAAAUGCCAAAAAAAGAAGUGGUUAUUUUGUAUCAAAAAUGAUACCACAACAAUUUAUAUGUAGCAUUUGGACCUGAAUUAAAAAAGAUUAAAAUCUUAUGGCCAACUUUAGCCCUUUUAAACCUACCGCUUUUAAGGAUUGAAUUGGGUUGUUGGAUUGAUGUCUUAUCAAUGUUCUCAAAACCUGUCACAUGUAUAUAACCCAUUUUAUAUAAAGUAGAUACGGUAUUCCAGAAGUGAUCCUUUAAAACAAUUUUGAUUGACUAAGCAUUUUAUAUUUCAGGUUAGCACCACAGCUUGUCUGUAGGGAUUGAAGCUGGGAAAGGGCCAUUGGAGCUGAAUUUUAUGGUAAGAACUAAAAAAAAGAUUGAACUAUUCAUCUAAGAGUAUGUAAAUGCACCAUGGACUUUUUUAUGUACACAUGUAGAUCUAACAUUUAAAAAAAAAAAUCCAAAUUAAAAGUUUAUUUAUACCGGUAAUCUGGAUAGGGUAUAUAAGAAUAAAGAGAUGUUAUAAGAUUGCCAACUACACAACUAUCAAUAAAGGAAGCAAAUUACAGUCACCGUAGGACAUUCAGCAAUGAGCAAAAUCUAUAUGAAUGUAAAUAAUGCAACUGGUUGAAUAUCACAAUAGGAACUCAGUGUAUUCAUAAUUUUAAUCUCUGAUGCAUAACUUUGAAGGCAGAUUUUUCUGAAAUCGGGAUUAUUAAUCUUGCAUAUUUAUCCAUUUAUUAAAAAAUCAAGAAUAGAUGCAUGCAAUAAUUUCUGAAUUUACAGUACCAGUUUUAAAGUAAGCUAUAAGAGGUACUGAAUAUGACAAAAUGUGAAACAAUUUCAAACAAGAAAACCAACGCAAUGAUUCAUGAAAAAGAAUAAUCGAAAAAAAUAAACAUGACACACACCAACCAUUGGUUAGUUUUUCAUCCUUAUUUGCUAAUAAUUGUAUUAGAUAUAGUUUAAAUUUUGAUAUAGGCUUGAUCAUAUGUUUUGACAGAUAUGUUUAAGAAUAUUUAUUUCUUUUUCAGGAAACUUUGACUGUGGCUGCCACAUAAAAUGAUUAUAUGAUAACAGUGAAGAAAGUUAGUCAGAAAACUUUUGUAUAUGUUUCAGAAAAUGUAAUUUUUUACAACAAAAAAAAACAAAAAAAAAGAAUGUGUAAAGAUUCUCCACUUUCAACUAGAUUGGAAGCUUGUAUUUAAAAUUUCAAAAUUACUCUUACUUUUCUUGUCGUGCUUAUAGAAACUGAACUUUAUAUGUUUCAUAAUUUAGAUCUUAUUCGUUAUUCCCCAACCCCCUGUAACUCUGUUUCAUUUUUACUUUGAAAAUGAAAUGAAACAGAAAAAAUUUACUUGUAAACUUAAUAAUGGUCUGUCUAGUCCAAAGGCUUUCAGUCGGUUAAGAAUGGAGAAUCUAAAAAAAAAAAAAUAAAAAAAAUGAAAAAAAAUAUAUUGUGUUUUUGUGUUUCCUGAAUUGUUAUAUAUUUUUCCAACUUUUUGUUAUUUUUUUGCAGUGCUUUUAGCUAAAAAAAUUAAAAUUAUUUCACUAGAAGCAGAGUAGAACAUAUUGGUGAAAAAAGAUUGAUUGAUUGAUUGAAUUUUGGUGUAUAAUGCCACUUUCAGCCCAAUUUGUAAUAUCUUGAUGGCCAUUUUUUAUGGGUUGAAAAAGUUAAAAGUAACAGUAGAUACCCACCAACUUUUCCCCCAGGGAACUGUCAAUUCUAGUCAAUUAAGCUUUGAGUCAAACACACCUACCACAGGUUGGGUUUGAAUUCUCAACCUCAUUUUGACAUGCUAGAGAUACAAUAAUACUUCUUAGACCACUGCCACUAAGGC
rnacentral:lncRNA from 1 species